AAUGCUCAUGUAGGAAGAGCCUUGCACAAAAGGAUUUUACUGAAAAAUAAAAAUUUCACAGAGAAAAUGAAAACUCUUCCUGGGACAUUGCUUUGGACUGUUCUUGCUAUCUCUGUUCAAAAUGUUUUCUGUGAAAAGAGAAGGAUUUUCAAGUUAAGGAACGUUGCUUUCAGACUUCCUGCAUUUUUCCCCAGUCUGCUGUGUCCUUGAGGAAAUUCUGGAGGAAUGCUGGAGAGCUGUUGUCAUGCUGGCUGGAUGUAGAAAUGAGAAGAUAUCAUGGACCUACCUGGAGUCUCAGCUGUGAGCCUCUCAUUUUUGGUAUCAGAC